rnacentral:misc_RNA from 1 species
GAAUUCAAUUCAAUUGAAUUCUUUCUAUUUUAGACUUUCCAGGUGCACCCUGAGAAGUGAAGAAUUUAUUCCUGCAACUGGUUUUUAGGUGCAUUUGCUUUUAAGAGUCAUUCUGGAAUGUUAAUCAUGUUGCUUCUUAUAUUCAAAGAAACACCAGCUAUUAAAAUUUGACCCCCUAUAAUAUUUAGAUGCUGUGCUAGUUCAAAUGAACUCACCAAUUCUCUGUAGCUGUUAGAUACCAAUAAAAUUUGUUUGAUUUCAAAAACUUAUACUUUGUUAUGAAAAAUCUUGAAAGCAUUGAGAAAGAUGAUUUGUUUAUUGGGGAACUUAAGAUCUGUAACUGGAUAAGCAUUGCUAUGCAUGGGAGAUUACCUUUGUGAGCAAAUAAUUAUGUCUUUGAAUUUUGUCACCAGCAUAUUCUUGAGCCUGGUCUUCUUUGCCUUCUUUCUCGGGGGAGCUUGGGAAGCAAGUUGAACUUUGCUUAGGGAGCAAAAUUUAGUUGUGCUGAGUAUAUGUUAAUCAUGACAACCUAAGUUUUCCUAUUAUGGAUAGAUGUAAAAAGGCACAUCAAAUAAUUUUUAUGGUUAAAAUCAAUCAUAUGAACUUCAGGAUCAUUCUUGAAGUCUUCUUGUUUUGUAUGAUUGUGAAUACGUCUUAAAUUAUAUUCUCAGUGAACAUUGGUUAAUGUUAGGAUGUUUUCA